GACGAACGCUGGCGGCGUGCCUAACACAUGCAAGUCGAACGGGGUCCAUGGGAGCUUGCUCCCAGAAGACCUAGUGGCGAACGGGUGAGUAACACGUGAGAAACCUGCCCUGGAGUGGGGAAUAACUCGGGGAAACUCGAGCUAAUACCGCAUACCCUCGGAUGGUCGCAUGGCCGACCGAGGAAAGAUUCAUCGCUUCAGGAGGGUCUCGCGGCCUAUCAGCUAGUUGGUGGGGUAACGCCUACCAAGGCAACGACGGGUAGCUGGUUUGAGAGAACGAUCAGCCACACUGGGACUGAGACACGGCCCAGACUCCUACGGGAGGCAGCAGUGGGGAAUCUUGCGCAAUGGGCGAAAGCCUGACGCAGCAACGCCGCGUGCGGAUGACGGCCUCGU
rnacentral:rRNA from 1 species